GGCUCAGAACGAACGCUGGCGGCAUGCCUAACACAUGCAAGUCGAACGGAGGCCCUCUUCGGAGGUGUCCUUAGUGGCGGACGGGUGAGUAACGCGUGGGAACCUGCCCUGGAGUGGGGAACAACCUUUGGAAACGAAGGCUAAUACCGCAUACGCUCUACGGAGGAAAGGCUUCGGCCGCUCCAGGAUGGUCCCGCGUCUGAUUAGCUUGUUGGUGGGGUAACGGCCUACCAAGGCGACGAUCAGUAGCUGGUCUGAGAGGAUGAUCAGCCACACUGGGACUGAGACACGGCCCAGACUCCUACGGGAGGCAGCAGUGGGGAAUAUUGGACAAUGGGGGAAACCCUGAUCCAGCAAUGCCGCGUGAGUGAAGAAGGCCUUAGGGUUGUAAAACUCCUUCACUGAUGAAGAUGAUGACGGUAAUCAGAGAAGAAGCCCCGGCUAACUCCGUGCCAGCAGCCGCGGUAAUACGGAGGGGGCUAACGUUGUUCGGAUUUACUGGGCGUAAAGCGCACGUAGGCGGCGUAUCAAGUCAGAGGUGAAAGGCCUGGGCUCAACCUAGGAACUGCCUUUGAUACUGAUAUGCUUGAGUUCGGGAGAGGGUAGUGGAAUUCCAAGUGUAGAGGUGAAAUUCGUAGAUAUUUGGAAGAACACCGGUGGCGAAGGCGGCUACCUGGCCCGAUACUGACGCUGAGGUGCGAAAGCGUGGGGAGCGAACAGGAUUAGAUACCCUGGUAGUCCACGCCGUAAACGAUGAGUGCUAAUUGUCGGGAUGCAUG
rnacentral:rRNA from 1 species